rnacentral:rRNA from 1 species
UACGUAGGGUGCAAGCGUUGUCCGGAAUUAUUGGGCGUAAAGAGCUCGUAGGCGGUUUGUCGCGUCUGCUGUGAAAACGCGAGGCUCAACCUCGCGCCUGCAGUGGGUACGGGCAGACUAGAGUGCGGUAGGGGAGAUUGGAAUUCCUGGUGUAGCGGUGGAAUGCGCAGAUAUCAGGAGGAACGCCGAUGGCGAAGGCAGAUCUCUGGGCCGUAACCGACGCUGAGGAGCGAAAGCGUGGGGAGCGAACAGG